UUCCCCACUUCAAUUUUAUCCAUUUACACUUUUUUUUAAUUAUAAAAUGAAGUGUAAGUGGAUAAAAUUGGAGUGGAGAA
rnacentral:miRNA from 1 species